rnacentral:piRNA from 1 species
UAGGACCACUGAAACUUGUUGUGUUGC